rnacentral:pre_miRNA from 1 species
ACAACAUUUGGAACGUCGGUCUGUCGAGCAACUAUAUAUACCUCUCGGUGAAAGAUCUUCCCUUUGUAGU